AUCUUUGCACUGGGGGUUAUGAGCAGCUAGUGGGGUUCUGAGCCAAGUCUGUUGCUGGUUGAAAACUAUUUCCAAACCUCCUCUUCUGCCUGUGUUUGCCCCUGGCCGUCAAGAAUUUCUAUAAGGGCUCACUUUACUGGGUAAAGCC
rnacentral:snRNA from 1 species